rnacentral:lncRNA from 1 species
UGAAUGGAAAAUCUGAAGAUAGACCAUUACCAAACUCUGCCUCCUUGGAUUCCAGUGAUUCUAAAGUUGUAGAAGCAGAGAAACCCGAGCCAGAGAUAGCUAUUGUGGAAGUUGAAUAUAUUGAAUCUGAAAACUUGGAUAAUGUAGACGAUGCUGAUGCAGUUCUGAAGGUAUGUGCUUCUGUCUUGUGAUUACAUCAAUUCCCAUUAGUAUCAUAACUGUGAUGAAUUUGUUGUAUCUGUCUAUUUUAGAGAUUUGGAACUACAUUGUUUACGCCAUUAAGAAUCUGUUUGGUCUUAUUGUUUCAGUCUGUUUUAGCUGGACUAGAGUCCAAGGACUGGAUUUCACUCUGUGAUGCUCUUAAUAACGUUCGCCGACUUUCGAUAUUCCACAAGGAAGAAAUGAUGCAUAUGCUGUAAGCUUUGUUCUCUAUGCUGAUGUUUCUAAAUAAUUGUCUCUUAAAGUAGAUUGGAAAAUGCAAGUCUCACCAUAUCCCAUUAACAGUGAAAAAGUGAUACCACUUGUCGUGAAAUCACUGAAAAAUCCAAGAAGUGCGGUGUGUAAAACGGCAUGCAUGACAUCUGCAGAUAUCUUCAGUGCAUAUAAUAAUCAUAUAACAGAUCUGUUGGAGCCUCUGGUAACUUUUCUAUCUUUGCUAUAUUCUUUCACUGUUUACUGCGAACUUUACUUGUUCUUACAGCUUUUCAUACACUUUAUGCUUUCAGCUUACUCAACUACUCCUCAAGUCUUCCCAAGACAAACGGUUUGUUUGCGAGGCAGCAGAGAAAGCUUUAACAGCAAUGACCAAAUAUGUUUCCCCAACCUUGCUGUUACCAAAGCUGCAACCUUGUCUCAAAAACAGGAAUCCUCGGAUCCGUGCCAAAGCAUCAUUAUGCUUUUCUCGAAGUGUUCCUCGACUGGUAAUACAAGUUCAACUUCAUAUAUAUCUCUCACAAAGGCAUCGCAUGUCAUGUAAAAAUUUCAACAAUACCUUGCGUUAUAAUACAUAUUCCAGGGCGUUGAAGGGAUUAAAGAAUAUGGAAUCGACAAAUUAGUUCAAGCAGCCGCAUCUCAGCUUAGCGAUCAGCUCCCUGAAUCCCGUGAGGCUGCACGGACUGUCCUACUAGAACUUCAGAGCGUAUAUGAAAAAGCUCAUCCUCUCAUCAACCCUGAGACAUCAUCACCAGAAGAACAGCAAAUCCCGGAGGUAGAGCCAAUUACUUGGGAAACUUUCUGCAAGUCAAAACUGUCGGCUCUUAGCGCACAAGCCGUGCUUCGUGUCACCAAUGUUGUCACUGUUACUGCUCGGGAGGGUUUGGUUACUACAGGUUCAUCAUCUUCAUCCCAGUUAUAAACAUUUUCUACUACAAAUUUUUUAAAAACCGUUUGCUACGAGUCAUACGGUUUACAUGGUAUUCUCCGGCAUGGCGGCAUGAUCUACCAAAUUGGCAAAUUAUGGACCGAUAAAAAGAGUGAACGUUCGUGUAUGAAAAAUCUUGGCUUCUUUCUGGGUUAUUUUCUUUUUGUGGAUUCUCAUCUGUCUUCACUACCAGUACUUGUUUCUUUUUCUUAUGUGUAUAUAUUCUAUACCAAGAUUUGGUAAGAUAGUCAUGAGUCUUUUGGUUAUAUGCAAAAUUGGUCGGAUUCUUUGAAGAUUCAGUGAUCAUUAAAUAGAUAGCCAGUCUAUGCUUCUUCCUCGUUGAAGUUUCUCUAGAUUAAGCUUUGACUCAUAGUAAAAGAUUCUUUAAUUUAGUCGAUUUUUUUUAGAAUCAGAAUCACGUCCGAGGCUUGGCUUAUUGGUCAGAUAUUGAACCCAAAACUGAAAGUGAUUUUUAUUAGAUUAAGAAUUAUAGAAAAGUAUCUGAGUUCUGUCUGAACUAAUACAUCAUAGUCUAGAUAAAUAAUCUUCACCUCUACCAUCGAAGACAAGUGGGAUAAAACUCUCGCCUAAAAACAAGCAAUGCCAUAAGGCCCAUAACCCUUAUUUUGAUUAAUCUGUGAGGUGAAACAAUAGCAGCAACUACAUAUGUAUCAUUUAGCUCUGUGAGAGCUCGCGGCUUCGUUUAGCUGCAGCAACAACUGCAUUCAUAAGUGUUGCCCGGAAAGAGCCUUUCUCUAGUUCAUGAACUCCGGCUAUUGUAGUGCCGCCAGGUGAGGUAACAUCAUCUUUCAACACACCUGGAUGCUUCCCAGUUUUGCUAACCAUCGUUGCAGCUCCAAGAACCUGUAAUAGGAAACAAAAAACCUCAAAGCUUAGGGUUCUCUUUCUAGUUUCGGUAUUCAAUACCAUAAUAAAGCAGAUUAAAGAAGCGAUGUAGAUGUUCACUGACGGUCUGUGAAGCUAAACUCAAUGCAAGCUCUCGGGGUAAACCAGCAGCUACUCCUCCAUCGGCUAAAGCUUCAAUUGCUAAAAAUAUGUAUGCUGGUCCACUUCCACUGUAAAAAGUUUGAAAUUUUCUUGAUUAGUGACUUGAACAACUCAAGCAUUUCAGCAGCUACAGUGUUUUCCUGUACCUGAGACCAGUGACAGCAUCAAACAUUUUCUCAUCAGCUUUCAAUAUCUUCCCCACCGCGCCAAACAACAUAGCAACAAUUGCUCCAUCCUCUUCCGUUGCUCCUGUGCCAAGGCUCAUAACUAUAUACACACAACAUAAUUGGCAAAUGUAAGCAUUUGACAGCUUCAGAGAGAAACAGAAAUCACAAACAAAAUUCAGAAAUAUCACAAAUGCGAACACUCUGAUAAACUAUACCUGAAGCUGCCUCACCAACAGCGGCAGGUGUAUUAGGCAUCACCCUUAUGAAUCGAUCUUGACCAGACCAUUCCUAAAAACAAAAAGGAGAGACCUUUAUGUUUUUUAACCAAAUUGAGCUCUAGAAACUCACAAUGCAACACCAUGGAUAGUGACAACUUAAAUGGCAAAUGUAUAGGAGUAUAAAUGAUGCAAAACCUGUAAAUCAUUCAACUUGAUUCCAGCUGCAACAGAAACCAGAAUCUUAUUCUUUGAAAGCUUCGACUUUAAUUCUGUGACAGCCUUCUUAACUACAUCAUAUGAAAGGUACAACUUUAAGUCAACACAAAAUUACAUUGAUGAAUCAAUCAUAUAAUCAAUGGAUAGGUAAGAAAUAUAUAUACCAACUUGAGGUUUCACAGAGAAUAUGACAACAUCGCUUUCUUUAACAACCUGUCAUUUUUUUGAAGAUCGUCAAUCUCAAUUUAGUUCAUCACCACAACAACAACAACAAGACAUUGAAAAAGAACUUACUUCUUCGCUAGUGGAGAAGACAUUGACGCCAAAGGAUUCGAAGACAUCACGGCGAUUGAGAUUUGAGUGAACGGCGGUGCAUAUACGAUUAGGAGGAAGCACACCGGAAGCAACCACACCUCUAGCUAUACUCUCCGCCAUUUUACCAGCUCCGAUGAAUCCUACCUUGAAACUCUCCGCCGGAAUCGGAAGAAUCUCCAUCGGGAAAAUUUAACGGGCCGGCUGGCGAGAUACUUCGGACGGGUGAGCUGACGAGCUGCUUGAGACGGGCGAGCUGAUGAGCUACUUGAGACGGACCGGCUGACGAGAUGCUUCAGACGGGUGAUCUGACGAGCUGCUUGAGACGGGCCGGCUGGCGAGAUACUUCAGACGGGUGAGCUGACGAGCUGCUCUUUGUCUCUAAGUGUCCUCGCGGCCUCCCCCUUUGACAAGACAUGCUAUUCCGUAUUUAUAGCCUUCUGCGCGUGUAGGGCAUUCAUCGAGGGAUUUGACGAAACUACCCUUCGCCUUAAUACUCCUUGGUUUGGAACUUAUUUUGGGCUUUUGACUUGGGUUUGGGCAUUGGGCCAAGUAGGCCCAAUCCGACCCCUAACAGUUGCCCCCCAAUCCUGAUGCAUCGUUGAUGACGUGGAUCAGGAUUUCAGGUGCACGAAACUCAAUCGAAGGAAGUGAAAAGUCGCGCAUGGGGAAGACGCAAUGUUUGGUUUGUCUUUCAUGAUUCUCAAGGUUCGAGGAUCGAAACGUCGCGUGGCUAUCAAAGUAUAGGCUGCUAUUACGGCAAUGUGCUGUCUCGGUGAUAGUCAAGCGAGACGACAAGGAAGGUUAAAAGGGUCGCCUCGGCUGUUGCGUGACCGUCGCAUUUCUGAAGAGCCUCCUGGAUCAAAGUGGUCGUCUGGUGUUCGAGUUGGGAUGUUCGAGUCAUUCGAAAGUGGUUCUUUGAGGGGGAGAGGGAAGAGACGAGGGUCGUUAAUCGUGAUGAACAACGAGCUAGCGUUCCGAACUCGUCCGAUGCGUUUUGCGUGCCAAUGAUCAUUAUUGGAGUUAUCGUUUCGUUUGAAGGAGGCGUUCCUUUUGCUUUGAACUCUGGUGAUGUUAAGCAAAGCACGUGUUGUGAGCUGGCGAGCUGGCAAUGUGAAGUCAGGGAUGUUAAGCAAAGCACGUGUUGUGAGCUGGCGAGCUGGCAAUGUGAAGUCAGGGAUGUUAAGCAAAGCACGUGUGUUGUGAGCUGGCGAGCUGGCAAUGCAAAUGGACGUUAACGGCGAUCGUUAUUAACGUGGUUAACGUUUACUUUCUUUACCUUUUUGUAUAAGAGCAACAUGUUAUGCUCAUGCUUUCAUUAUCGAAUAAUCUGGUUGUAAUCUCUCUCUAGAGACUUCUAGAUUUCCCUCAUCGUUUUACCGGAGCUCUCGUCGAGUCUCUUGUAGGUGAGAAGUUGAUAUCGCGUCUCUUUACGAACGUUGUAUCAAGUGUGUUAAUCGGAGUACUUUGUUUUCAUCUCUCUGUUCUAUUGAUUUCAAACUCUGUCUAUUCAUUUCUGGUUUACGUUAACACUGGUAUCAGAGCCAAGCGUUUCCUCGGAAUCAAUGGCAGAAACUCGUUCGCAGAUGUUUUAUCGGGAGGUUUCAGCUAUUCACGAAACUAUGUAUCCGUCAUUGAAAGUGGUUUGUGGUCACAAAUCUGAUGUGCGUUCCGGCAAAGCGGCGACGACGAAUCAGCAAUUUGGUGUUCAAUCCUCACCGUGCAUCGGAGAAUCAAUGUUGGAUACGAGAGCUUACAACAUUGGAAGAUCCUCACAGCUGAUAUCUACAGCUCCGAUCGUCACUCCUGACACCAGCAAAGAGAGAGUCGGUAUGUCGAACAAAUAUUUUCCAUUGGAAGAGAGAUCUGAUUUUGCGAGACUUGAGCAUCUCAGAUUUAAUGGUGAUAGAAUUACAGAAUGGUUGUUCCAGAUUGAACAAUUUUUCUUAAUUGAUCGUACUCCGGAGGAAUUGAAAGUUGGUUUCGCUUCACUCCAUUUCGAUGACACUGCUGCGACUUUGCACCAAUCAAUUGUACAAUCGAUGUGGUGGAAGCAUGUUAGGCAUGAUUGGUGGAGUUACAAACUGUUGUUGCAAGUGAGAUAUGAUGAGCAUGUUAAUGACUCGAUUGCAAAACUGACACAGUUGCAGGAGACUGAAGGAAUAGAGGAGUAUCAUGCUCGAUUUGAGUUGAUUAGCACUAGAUUGAACUUCGCUGAAGAUUACUUGGUUAGUGUUUACUUGGCAGGUUUGAGAACUGAUACUCAACUGAAUGUUAGGAUGUUUGGACCUCAGACAAUUCAACAAUGUUUAAUGUUGGGAAGAUUAUAUGAGAUGGCUCACCCAAAGAGUGUGCUUAUCAGAAAAGAGAGUGAUGAUUAUCAGAAAGAAGCUCAACAUGUUUCAAGUAAUGCUGCAGGAACUUCUAUGAUUAAUGAUGGUAAUUGCAUGAUAGGUAAUGAUGGAGAUCGAUUCCUUAGUGGUUCAGACUUGGUAGAGAAUGCGGUUGCGACGGUGAAGAAAUAUUUGGUUGAAAUUGAUGAUGCUGUGUCUAGUGAUGAUGAUCAAAAUUCGGAUGCUGGGGACGUAUUUGGAUUCAACAUAGAAGAGUGUGAAACAGAUUCAUGGAUUGAACAUAAGCCGUUGAUUCAAGAUCAAGCCGCGUUUCACUCCAUAGACAUAGAAGGUGUCUCACAACUUCAGAAGGUUCGUUCAAACCUUAAGGAUUUUGAUAAAGUUGAUGCAACAAUGAAUCAAAUGCUGUCAUCAAUUGGAUUUGUUGUUGAUGAAUUACACUCUAGUUGUGGAAGUGCUACCGUCCAUGUCCAGAAGAAGCCUAGUAAGUCUCUCAAAUCCUGGAAGUUCAAAUUUAAAACCAGCUCACAAGACCAAGGGGAUCAUGAAUCACUUCCAAUAGGGUUACAUAUCAGAUUCAAGUCCUGGAAAUUUAAGUUCGUGAAUAGAAAUUUACAAAUGAUGAGAGAACAUGGAUAUACAACACACUUUCAGCUAAUGUCUGAUAAGAGAGAACAUCAAGAGAUGUUCAUUGUGGCCAGGAUUGUUGAUGUGAGAUGUUUGCUUAGCAUGAUACUUGGGAUAACAGAGAGUGAUGCAGGUCAUGGAGAACAAUUUGUGUAUGAUCGGAUUACAAUGGUAAAGAGGCUGCUGUUGCAAACCAGUUUAGUCAUUCAAGAAGUGAUGAGAAACAAAAAGAUCAAGUUUACCAAACGGUGGUGGUUCAAGUAUAAAUUUGGGGAAGAGGGUUUCACGAGACUGAAUUCUUUCAAUUUGCGUAUGACUUAUCAUUUUGCGGUUUGGCAUUGUUGGAAGAGCAAGACCAUGGUGCAUGUUGAAAUGAGUGGUGAUCACUGGUCUUGGAUGGUCUUAGUCAUGAAAUCUACAACAUCUAGCUUUUUGUCACUUCUCUAUGAUCGAAGAAUGGGAGAUCCAAGCAGACAUGAAACGGGUCGGGAGAUUGUGUCACUUCAGGGUCAAAUUCACACUGGUUCUCCUAUGAUUCAGUGCAUAAAGAUGAGCUUCAGCAUUCUCCUUCUUCAGGGUCUGUUUCAGAGUUUGACAAUGAAGAUGCUCACAUAUAUGCACUUGUUUGGUAGCAAAAGUUGUGUUUCAACUUUGGGAGUGAGGAAAUUAGGCAAAGAUUGGUGGUUUAAAUACAAGACAGAUGCAAGGGCUACAGAUUUACUGACAAAUCCGUAGAAAGAGUAACUACGAAUUAGACAACAGAGGAUGAUGAAGUUGUCACAAGCUUGGCGAUUCAAGGUUUAGGACUUGGUAAAAGGAAAGCUAUGAUUCAUGUUGAUUUAUGUGGAAGAGGCUACAUGGAGUUACUCUAUAAACUGGCAAAGAUGUUUCCAUGAACCUUGAGGUCAAGGUUCUCUGAAGAGGGGAGAUUUGUUAUAGGAAAACUGAAGUCAAGCUAUAGCGUUCAGGGGUCAAGCUGGCGAGCUGGAAAUAUGAAGUCAGGGAUGUUAAGCAAAGCACGUGUUGUGAGAUCAAAGGUAUAGCUUGACUUUGUAGCGGAACCUCCAACUCCACCUCUUUCCCCUUUCCGUCACCCUCCUGCGACCUUGUAGUCACCAUGUUUUCCGAGGAACUACAGAGCUCUGAUACCUUUGAUACAGAGAACUUUCAGGCGACCUCGAUCCCAUUAUCGCUAAAGGUUGUGAUUCUUCAUUGAGUAUCUUGGAAUUUAAGAAUUCAAAAAAAUAUGACCCUCUCAUAUAAAAUGGUGUGUGUGGGUCUGUUGUGUAAUGAAAACAUCUACGUUUCAUCUUCCUUUUGUUAAACUUUGUUUUGUAUUCAAAUGAUUUGCAGACGGUUUAAGCUCUGUUUUAAGCUAUUAUCUCGGCCUACUUGCAUUUCUUCACUUUCUCAGUGAAAGAAUGAUUAAUUUUUUUCAUUAGAGUGCACAAUUGUUAAUUAAUAUUUUCUUGUUAUAGAAGCAAAUUACAAAAAAGCUAUCUGACAGAUUCCAAUGUGAUCAGUUCAGUCCAAGCUGUGCUAGUGAAGUCAUAUUCUUGAUUCAAGUAAGAGUUGUGGCUCGAAAACCAACCAUUUGCAGAUAAGCUUUCUCCGAGUGAGUGAGUUGAAUGAUCCAGUUACCCGCCCCCAAGUUAUCAAUCUUCCAUGAAUCUCUGUUUGCAUCUCCUUCUAGUCAUCUGAGCCCAUCUCGCAAAGAUCUCUGCUGCAGCAAACUUACCUGAGAACUUAGCUCUCUGUGCCAAUUCCUCAAAUAUCUCCGGUUGUCCCCCUCUGUGGAAAUCAGCUGCAAACUUGUUAUAAUCAAUCAAAGGGGUUUUCAUUCCUUUGUCAAGCAUCUCCUCCAAGUAUCUGCAUGCCUCUCUCGACUUCCCUUCACUUAUAAGCCCUCUGAUCAAAACCGUGUAGGAGUUAUCGUCAGGACAAAUCCCUUUCUUGAUCAUCUCGUCCCAAACUGCUCUCCCCAUCUCAUAGUUUCUCGCCACGAAGUAAGAUUUCAUUAUCAUGUUGAACGUGUGUAUCGAUGGCUCAAUUUCGUUCUGGAUCAUCUUGUUGUAGAUCCUUGUGCCAUGUUCCGGCAUUUUCUGGUUCGCCAUCAGUUUGAUCAACGCAUUAUACGUUUUGCCAUCCGGAGGGUGUCCCUUUUCUUGCAUCUCCUUGAGCAGUUCGUAAACAGUAUCCAGCUUCUUCUGAGUCCCAAACCCCGUGAUCAGACACGUGUAAACCGCAGCAUCAGGUUGCAACCCGGAAUCAACCAUGUCAUCAAAGUACUCAAUGGCAGUUUCCAUGCUCGACUGUUUGCAGAAGUCCCGGAUCAUGAUGGUAUAGCUACGGACAUUAGGGCAAGGUCCCUUGGAUUUCAUAACAUGGAACAAUUUGAUCGCAUCUGAUUUUUUCAUACUCCUCAACAACCCUUCAAGCAUUACGUUGUGAGCUACAAUGUCAGGUUUCAAUCCGUGAUCAAUCAUAUCAUUCCAGAUUCUAGCUGCUUCUAUCAAGUUCCUCACCCUGCACCAACCAUUGAGUAGAACAGUGUAAGUCAUCAUAUUAGGUGUAAACCUCUCCUUCAGCUUAUCAAACAGAACCUGAGCUUCUUUUCCAAGCUUAGCCCUGCCAAGACUAUCAAGCAAGCAAUUAAUGGUUUCAACACCAAUCUUAAACUUGUACUUCUUCAUCAACUCAAAGAUACCAACAGCUUUCUUCCUCUCUUUCGCAGCAGCGAAAGCUUUCAUCGCGAUAGUGAAUGUCUCCAUCGUCAAUAGACCUUUCGUACCCAUCUCUUCGAGUACCGAAACCAUCGUCUCGAACUGUCUAGUCUUUGCUAAAAUACUCAUCAUGGAGUUAUAUGUUCUUGAGUCAUGAGCAAAUCCUUGUCUCUCUGCAGCCCAACAGAAGAACCUAAAUGCAGGCUUCCUAGCAUGUCGAAAACGUUCUAAAACCUCAACGAUGAGAUCAUGUGAUAAAUCUAGUUUCAUUUCAUCAAGAACAGCUUCCAUAUUUCUAUCUAACGCAAACAAUUCAUCAAUCACUUUGCAGACUCUCUCUACUUCUUCCGGAUUAGUACUUGAUUCAACACAACUGACCCCAGUUUCUUCAUCAUUAUCGCAUUCAGAUUCAACUUCUUCAUCACAUCCAUCACUAACAUUAGAACUACCACUAGAGAAACCUCUACACCCAAGACUCGCAUCAAGCAGUUGUACAGAGUGUGGCAAUGGAAUUUGACGGUAAGGAUGAUAAGUAGAAGAAUGAAUCAUACGAGAGAAGAGAGCACCGGAAAAUCGUACUUCCUCUUCUCCUCUCCCGCCGAUUACGCGGCUUUGACUGGAAAUGAAUUCAUCGGCAUCGAAUGAAGAAGAGCAAAUGAGGAAUCUUCUUAAUGAAGUCUGAGUGGAGCUUCUUCUCCUAGAGAGAUAGAGCCAUGGAGCAGCAGCCAUGGAAGCUCGACGGCGAUUAGCAAUGGCGAAGUCGGUGAAAAGCCACUGAUUUACGGCGGAGAGCUCUUCACGUAUUUGGGCCUUUGUUUGAUUAGAAGCUUUGAGUGAUAAUAAUUUUGACCCAUUAAAGGCCCAUUGAUCUGGUCACAUAUAACCAUUGGGUCCACCAGGAGCAUUAAAGCUCAAACGCAUAUAAACGAGCUGGCGAGCUGGCAAUAUGAAGUCGGAUGUUAGGCAAAGUACUUGUGAGCUGGCGAGCUGGGGAGCUGGCAAUGCAAAUGGACGUUAACGGCGAUCGUUAUUAACGUGGUUAACGUUUACUUUCUUUACCUUUUUGUAUAAGAGCAACAUGUUAUGCUCAUGCUUUCAUCAUCGAAUAAUCUGUAAUCUUCAGAAUUCUCUAGAACCUUUGUAAGUGCUAGAUUUCUCUCACAUCGAGAGCUAGCUGAAUCAUUUGGUGUUUUAUGAACAUCGAUUGAUUGUUUGGUUUCGAAUGAUAAUUGGAGAUUUGGAUUGUUCUUGUGAAUCGCAGGUUUCCCUGUAACACACUCGUCUGGAUGAGGUCGAACAAACGAUUAGGGCAUUGGACAUUCGUUCGGAGGAUUGGGAGAAAGCUGGUCUGCAACUAGUGUGGCCCAUUACUUCCAUUCUUCAUGAGAUUACCCUCUUUUAAAUGGAAGUUUUCCCUUCACACGACCUCAGGUUCCGCUUAUGGCGAUCUCGAUUGUCGACCUAAAUCUUCUGGCGAGCUCAUGACUUAGUUCAAUCGAAUUCUCGAUUUUAUUCACGUUAUCCUCGGGAAAUCAUUUUCCGCCGCUUGCAAGAAGAAUCAAAGGUAGCUCUCGCUCUCUCCUCUGCGAAUUAUUUUGUACUCUCGAUUCUUUAUCGAUUUUUCCGGCAAUGGGUAAGGUUGUUCUUGUCUCUCCGUCCUCUUCUUCCUCCGAGAGCGAAGCGUCAUUAGUUCGCCGAAACUCUCGGUUAACCGGGAAUCCAAGUGACGAAGCUCAGUCUAGUCGAUCUAACCGGAUCGAGAUCCCGACGUUGCUUGAUGAGCCCGAUCGGGAAGGUUCCGGUGGACAUCUCGCUGCUCCUGAAGAUCCGGCGGAUUUCUUGGCUCAGUUCGACCCGCUCAUCGACCUGGAGGAUGCUUAUAACACGCAGCCACAGUAUACAGAGGCCGAAGUUAAUGCGAAUUACUUCAUGAGGAUCAUGUCGAAUUUGACGUCGACUCAGUGGUUAGCUGGAACACCGAGAUCGCCGCGAAAAAGACCCUUUCAACAACUGAGUCAGUCGCGGAAGUAUUUGCCUUGUGUGGCUCCGGAGAUCGCCCGCUCACUUACAUGAUUCCCGGAGAAAAUGAGCGUCCGUGGAAUCCCCCUCGAGGGUACGUCUGCAUGUAUGAAGCCUACUUCAGACAAUGUCACCUCUGGUUUCCCAUUCCGUCUCUGAUCAUCUCCUUUCUGAAUCGUCGUCGUAUGGCGUUCUCCCAGCUUACUCCGGCGGCGAUCUGUAGUUUUGUUGCCGCUCUGACCUUCGGUGCUGAAGAAGGUUACCUGGUAAACGUCCGUUGUUUCGAAGAAAUGACGACGUUGAAAGCUAUAAGGUCGCCCGGCUAUUGGCUGGUGAACAACCGCCCAAAGCAUAACUUUCUUCCCGGGGAGGAAAAGGAUGUGGACGGAGUUUCCUGGUAGAUUUCUUUUAAAUAGAUAGGGUAAAGAUAUGUCGAUCCCAACUAGAUUCUCAUAGCUUUUUCUUUUGUUGCAGAUCGAUACAGGCCUAGUCCGGAUUUUCAUUGCUGAUGGGGACUUCAUUCCCAGGACGCCUUCUCUAUUCUACCUUGGGCCGGCUGCUACUGAUGCUGAUACCACGGAGUGUCAGAACUUCGUCAACCAAGGAUUGCUUUGGUUUGUGUUUUCGAUAUCGGGAUGUUUUUUAAGUAUUUCGUUGCUUGGAUUUCUCAGGUCGGAUUUCUGCAUCAGGAUCAAUGCCGCGAGCUGCAGUACUUUCGAACCAAGAAACGAAGAGUGGACUUUUGUCUCGAGGAGCUCGAAACUCUGAUUGCUAAGCUGAAGAAGAAAAGAAGAAGGGUCGUCACUCGUCUGGAUGAGGUCGAACAAACGAUUAGGGCAUUGGACAUUCGUUCGGAGGAUUGGGAGAAAGCUGGUCUGCAACUAGUGUGGCCCAUGCAAGAUCGCCUUCUUCUGGAUAAUCGCAGUUUCUGACAGGGCGAUCUAACGUUCGAAUAAACGCCCUUGUGAUAGCUGGCGACCUUGUUUAACUCUAAUUUAUUCUGGAAUAAAUGUCUUUGUAAUAGCUCCCGAUCUCGUUUGGUCGUUGAUUAAUACAAUGCGAUUUUAUUAAAUUGGCUUAUUUCCUCCGCGACCACUGAGGUCGGCUUUUGAGUUCUUUUCGAACGCAAUUUUUUCUAAUUGGAUUAGAUGUUAGGUGCGAGACUGAGCCCGGCUUUUGAGAGAAUAUUCAGCGUGUGCUGGACGCGAGACGUCUCUCGGCUUAUGUCCAGCAGGCUUAUGUAUGAUUUAAAGAGGGAGUUCUGGGCUCUGUUUCCAAAAUAAGUGAGGCGGGCUCAGCAUAUUAUUUGGGGGGCGAGAUGCUGGGCUCGGCUUACUCCCCGUAGAGCAUCUGUUCGGCAGAUCGCGAAACGGUUCGGCUUAUGUUUCUGUCCGAACCAGAGCUUAUGUUUCUGGACGCAAAGGCGAGCUCGAGUGUGGGAAGAAAAGGCGAACUCGAGUGUGGGAAGCAAAGGCGAACUCGAGUGUGGGAAGCAUAGGCGAGCUCGAGUGUGGGAAGCAAAGGCGAUCUCGAGUGUGGGAAGCAAAGGCGAUCUCGAGUGUGGGAAGCAAGGAACAAGUAUGAAAGUGGCUAAGAGUAAGAAGUGAAGAAGUGUUGUGAAACCUCUAAUUGUUCUAGAGGGUUUCACUUUCCUUUUAUUGUUGCGUUGUCGUUUUGAUUAAACUCGAGUGUAUUUAAUGGAGCCCAACCUUUAGGGUUUUCCUUAUCUUAUGAAAAAUCACAUUAAUCAUCUUAACCUAAGUUUCUUCUGCCUCUCAUCUCUUCUCUUCUCACCUAACUCUAUUUCUGUUCGUUGUUAGGCUUCGUGCUUAACAUUUGGUGCUUUCAUUGAGAGGAAAAAGAAACGAUGGCUCCUCAAACCAGCGGCGCCGUCGCAGACCAAACCUCAACCUCAGAACUCGAGUCACAAACCCCAGAUCUGUACCUCCAAACGACCGCUCUUGAGAUUCGAAUGGAGAAGAUAGACAAGGACAUGGAAUGGUUUAAGGCAGCUAUGGGAAACCUCUUGCGUGGCCAGGUUUUCGGUGAAGACCGUGAACGGACUCCGGCUUGCUUUGCAAGUCCGAUUUCAGUUUCAGGUGGCAUACAACAAACUCCUGGUACACCUGAUACUGUUGCAGACAAGAACCCUCGUCCAGGGUCUCUUCCGUUGGCCAAUCCGGAGCCUAACCAAAGACCUGCUGAAGGGUUACUACCCACGCCACCAGCGCAGCAACGCUUGGAGUUCGUGGGUCUGACUACUGAGACACAGUUCAAACCCAUAGAUCUCCCGGAAUAUGAAGGUACGAAUCCUGAUGAAACAUAGAGUCCCAGAAACACAGAAACUUGAGCAAGCUAUCACUGCUUUGACUGGUACUGCCAUUAACUGGUGGCAAAUAGCUCAGUAUCCUGAAAAGAUCUCAACUUGGAAGGAUUUUCGUGACAAGUUCAAGGUCCGUUUCAAACCAGCCCGAGGAGCGGCCACCAUUGAUCAACUGUUCACAAUUUUCCAGAGAGGAAGUGUUGAAGAGUACCGUAAUCGAUUUGAAGAGAUAGCAGUGGAGCUUCCUCAUGUGACAGACGAUGUGCUUGAGUCAGCUUUUCUGAAUGGGUUGAAUGGGACCCUUUUUUUUUUUUUUUUUUUUUUUUGGUAAGAAUAAUGACGAAUUGAAUUACGAUGAAAACGAAAAUUUUACUUAUCUCAGCGCAAGAGUUUGUGGUACGAUCGAGUUUUAAGGGUCGAGUUCGUUGAUACAAUUAUCGAAAAGACGAUGCUCGAUGUCUGCCCUAGUUCUUGUCAGUUCGUUCGUCCGACGUGACGUUGUGCUAAGCGGCAUCGUUUUUUUCGUUUGUGGGAUGGCGUUGGGACGAGAUCUCCGAUGUUUUGAGUGACGACGUGAAUUUCGCUGUUGUGGAGAGUUUGGCUUUUCUUCAGUUCGCCUAGCUCCAGCAGGUGCUGUUACUUUUAGUUUGCAUGAUGGCGCGAAUGGCGUUUGGUUGGUUGCGUCGUUGUGUACGUCCAGAGCCGUCUGGUUCUUUCGUCUAGCUUCUCGUAGCAUGCCGACAUGAUGUGUCUUGUUAGUCGUUUUGGUGUGAUCAUUGCUUUGCGGUAUUCGCGAAACAUUGGCGUCAGUGUCGGAUCGUCGAUAUCCCUUAUGGCGCGUCCGACCUCAUGGACCCUGGAGAUGGCUCAAUUGAUUUGGGAGUGAAGGUCUUGCACUUGGUAUCUCGUUUAUAGCGGUCUGAGGAAUUGCCGAGCUGAGUUGGUUUACGACAACCUGAAUUUCUUCGCGUAGGUCGGGUAUGCGAAUAACGACUCAUGUGCAUGCGGCUGAUUUUAUCUUGUAUGUGCUCUUGGGCGGCGGUUAAUAAUCGCGUUGCGCUGCUUUAAAUGAUCGAUGAUGGUGUUGAGUAGUUCUUCGCCGCGUUGGUUGCUUUUAGCCGUAUCGUCCAGGCGAUGAAAUCGGCUAGGUGAAGUUUCUCCUUGGUCUUUUUGCAACGCUAGGUAUUCAGGCGUGGGCGAUAACGAGGUCGGUACAAUAGAUGACGCCGAGUAUUAUUUUUCCUUUAUUUGAAUCGUCUUCCCGUGCGCUGACGUUAUCGUCCGAGCUGCCGAGCUGGUAGUGUCAUCGUCGAGGUUUUCUAAGUGACGUUCGCCUGAUGACUUCUCCUCUUGGUCUUGGUUAGGCGCGAGUGAUAACGAGGUCGGUAUGUUUAAUGAGGUUAUGGGAUGUUCCUCUUUGAUCGGCGGCACUUCCUCGUUGGUCAGUGUUAUUGUCCUGACUGCCGGGCUGGAAGUGUCAUCGCCUAGGAUGAUGGGGUCGAUAGUUCCUUGAAGUCCUUUUCUUGUCGGAGAACAUGCUGCGAUAUCGAAUGAAGAGGUCGAGUGACUGGCUCUCCCGGGGAUCGACGUUGUCGUUUUACUUCCAGAGCCUGACGAGUCGGUAUCGAAUGCUCCAUGUAGUCUGUUUGUUGUCACUUUGCUUCGUCGCGGGGUCGUGUUAACGUAAACCAGAAAUGAAUAAACAGAGUUUGAAAUCAAUAGAACAGAGAGAUGAAAACAAAGUACUCCGAUUAACACACUUGAUACAACGUUCGUUAAGAGACGCGAUAUCAACUUCUCACCUACAAGAGACUCGACGAGAGCUCCGGUAAAACGAUGAGGGAAAUCUAGAAGUCUCUAGAGAGAGAUGACAACCAGAUUAUUCGAUAAUGAAAGCAUGAGCAUAACAUGUUGCUCUUAUACAAAAAGGUAAAGAAAGUAAACGUUAACCACGUUAAUAACGAUCGCCGUUAACGUCCAUUUGCAUUGCCAGCUCGCCAGCUCAAAACACGUGCUUUGCUUAACAUCCCUGAGUUCACAUUGCCAUCUCGCCAGCUCACAACACACACGUGCUUUGCUUAACAUCCCUGGCCAAACAACUUAGCAACAAUUGCUCCAUCCUCUUCCGUUGCUCCUGUGCCAAGGCUCAUAACUAUAUACACACAACAUAAUUGGCAAAUGUAAGCAUUUGACAGCUUCAGAGAGAAACAGAAAUCACAAACAACAUAAUUGGCAAAUGUAAGCAUUUGACAACACGUGCUUUGCUUAACAUCCCUGACUUCACAUUUCCAGCUCGCCAGCUCACAACACGUGCUUUGCUUAACAUCCCUGACUUCACAUUGCCAGCUCGCCAGCUCACAACACACGUGCUUUGCUUAACAUCCCUGACUUCACAUGUGUGAGCUUGACCUUCUAGAACGCUAUAUCAGGUCGUAGUUUUGAGAGAUAUCUUCGAGCUAUCCCCCUACCUGGCGCGCCAACUGUUGAUGCACGAAUCACACAAGUACGAAAAUGGGAUCUCUAGGGAAGGAAGAAAAAUCUUUCUAUUAAUACGAGCCCGCGACUUAGGCGAAUUGGACGGAUUACAAAGGAUGAUUUCUUCAACGAGCACAGAUGGAGUAAGAACGAGCUGAUUGUAGAUAAAAGGCGAACUUGAGGCCGGAAGACGAUCUUGAUGUCCGAGGAAGAAUAGAGUUUAUUCGUUUUAUAGCUGAACCUUGUAAAAGGCUGCCUACGUACCCUUAGAAAGGGAUCAAGCCACACGUAGUUCAUAUCGCGAUAAACGAACUAGGCCAUUACUGGAGGAAGGUCGUAUGUCGAGUUAGGCAGUUUUAGGGAUGAUCCGGCGGAUAAGUGACGAGUUGAAUGGCUUCUCGAGACGUGCGAGUAGGUUAGUUACUUUGGGCGGGCAAGUCGGCGAGACACUUCGGACGGACGAGUAAACGAGCUACUCAAGAUAGAUGGGCAAACGAGGUACUUCGGACGGGUGAGCUGACGAGCUGCUUGAGACGGGCGAGAUGAUAAGCUACUUGAGACGGGCCGGCUGGCGAGAUACUUCGGACGGGUGAGCUGACGAGCUGCUUGAGACGGGUGAGCUGAUGAGCUACUUGAGACGGACCGGCUGACGAGAUGCUUCAGACGGGUGAGCUGACGAGCUGCUUUAGACGGGCCGGCUGGCGAGAUACUUCAGACGGGUGAGCUGACGAGCUGCUCUUUGUCUCUAAGUGUCCUCGCGGCCUCCCCCUUUGACAAGACAUGCUAUUCCGUAUUUAUAGCCUUCUGCGCGUGUAGGGCAUUCAUCGAGGGAUUUGACGAAACUACCCUUCGCCUUAAUACUCCUUGGUUUGGAACUUAUUUUGGGCUUUUGACCCCUAACAGGAGGAGCUGUACUGGGAAAGGAAAACACUGAAGAAACGAGGUAACACACCACUUGAAGCCAUGGAGGACGUAGGAACUGUGAGAGAAAGAAAUAGAGAAGAGGAAUUAGGAAAAAAACAUGAAAGCGACAGAGUUUAAGAGACGUUGAGAACAAAGAAGAGAGAUUCUUACCAAGAAGGGAGCUGUUCUGGUCCCAAAGGGUUCUCUUAGGAAGACCAAAGUCAAGAGUUUGAAUUCUUAACAGGAAUAAAGUGAGAGAGUGCAAUGUAAGCAGAACACAAUCAAUGUGUGUUUCUUACAUACGAACCUGUCUUCUCUGUCCUUUCUAUUCGUAUACCAAAUGAGAAAGAAGCAUUGCUUUUUGUCUUUUAUUUUUCUUAGAAAGCCCAAGAGUUUUGGACUAUUGGUAGCUUUGGAGUUAAAGUCACAUGUAAAAACAGAGUCUCAAGCUCAUUUUAUUAAGUAACUCUAAAUUUUCAAUCUUACUAGUUAAUAUUCUCUUGCUUGCAAAUAUCAAUUUGAAUUGAUGACCGAUUAGUAAGUAGCUUCUUGAUUGUUCAACAUAACCAUGUGAAUGUCACUAUUAGGGGAAGCAGUUAAACUAGAGUGAGUGAGCCAAAGACUUGAGAGAGAUGGUGUUGUUUUGUUUCAUCCUUAGUUUAUUCACCAUUUAAUUUCCAAAACAACCCCACAAUUUGUACUAUAGUACACUCAAUGAUAGCAAAGAAUGAGAAGAUGAGUCAAUGACACCAAAAUAUGCUUUCUUUAGACAUUGUGUGGCAAAAACAUUGAAAGCUAUAUCCAGUUCUGUACUCAAUCUCUCUGCACUGUUUUGUCCUAUCACUUUCUUUUAUAUCGAAUUGAGAAAAUAUCUGUUUAAUCCAGAUUAAAUAAAACCGAUGCUAUGCAAUUAGUAAGUUAACUAAUCAUUGAGUUUGUUUUUAAUUAUGAUCAGUGAGGUCGUUAGUUCAGGUUCAUUUAACAGUUUUUUGUUUUAACGAUUCUGUUUAUCUAAAUACUUAUGGGCAAAAGAAUGUGAUUAAGACUCUCUGUCGUCAUAGAAAUUAACUAGUCUCAAAUUACAUCUCUGUUCUAUCUAUACUCAUUGUUAACCGGGACAUACUGGAACUAAAACAGAUACCAAGAUUAGGCUCUUAAGGUACAAAAUACUGUUUGAUUGUGAGACAGAGGAGUUCAGAGAGGUUCUAAUGAUUAUAAAAACCUUGAGGUUGCGUACUCUUAUGGGAAUGCGUGGUUUACAACAUAGACGACCACUGAGGAUUGAAGAUCUCGAUCUACCUUGAAAUGCGCGUGGAAAAACCUCCUUACCUGUUUCAUUGCCAACAAAACAAAAAAUUUCGCCCAUGAAUGCAUAAAACAAAUGAAGUCAGAGAUGAAUGAAAAAAAAAAGAAAGAAGGGAGUGUGUUCUUGUUUCUAACUUGCCUCUUUAAAGGAAUGUUGGAUCAUGAAAUCUCUGAGUUUUGUUUCUUCUGAUGCAAACAAUACAAUAUGACUAGGCGGCUCUGACCAGUUUCUAGCUAACUCUGAUGCAAAACCUAAAGGGUUUACUAAGAACUGAUCCGACUCAUCAAGUUCUCCCUUCUCUGCACUGUUUCAGAAGAAGAAGAAGAAUCAUUAAGAAUCACAUAGAAGCAAGAGCUGUGACUCGGGGUGUGAUCCUUUACCUUGGAGUGCAGUCGAGAAAUUGCAUUGGAAUGUUACGAUGGAGAGUGGAAUAAUAGGGAGUAGAAUGGCACGGCAUGAGAAAGAGAAUGCUCUUUACUCUGCCUUUGUAUGCUUCAUCCGAUAAGUAAUUCAUCGCAUCCUCAGUUCCUCUCUGUUGGAAACAACAAAAUUCCUUUUUAGCACAAAUAGAGAUAGAGAGUAAACUCGGAAACUAGAUAGAGCCCUCAAGGUACUGGUGUUUUUACCUGGUGGAAUAAACUCAUGUAUAGUGCCAUUGGAAUAUUGGUAGCAAGCAAAAAAUAGACUGAAAGUCUUAGUUUGGGAGACCACUUGGUAUGGUUCUGUCGAGGGACUUGCUUCUUUUUAGUGACUGAUGAUGAUGAUGAUGAACCAGAUACUUCCAUUUGAGCAAAUGCAUACCCAGAGAAUAUCAAAGCUAUGGGUAGCACAGGCAGGACAAACCUAUCAUUCAUAAUCUAAGUAGACGACAUGGAAAACAUAAUAAAUGAUGAAAGGGUGUUCUUUGCAAAGUUUUUCGAUAUUGAAAGUGUAAGAAAACGGGGUAUGUUCUCCAAUCAUAUUACCUGAAUUCCUUAUGGCCGAGUAUGCUGUAUAUUGCUAAGACCCAUAGAAUAAGAGCUGAAAGCUUCUGAUUCUUAGACUUGAUAAUUCCAGCAAUGGAGAAUGGUGUGAAAGUGAAAAGCAUGACAAGAAAUCCCUGGGUGAAGUACCAGUGCCAUGGGUGAGUUCCGUAAUAGUCUCCACCAGACGAAAGGAAAUUAAACUUCAGAAAAUUGAGAGGCACAAUGACCCACGAGCCGUACAUCAGACGGUCCAACAAACAGGUGAAACCGAGGACCAAAGAUCUAACACCAGAAGCAAGUUAGCGCAAUGAAAUCUUCAAAAUCAAACAUUAAAACGAACAUUCAAGAGUAUAGCUUAGCUGCAGAGUUAAACUUACCCAAUCGGGAUCACCUCUAGAAUGAUGAAUUUGACCUUAUUAGGUGUCAAAAAUAGCUCGAGCAUCCCAACGUAUAACCAUAUGACUGCACUAGUUGGCCUUAUGGCACAUGCUAGGGCCGCUAUGACCAAACCCCACUUCCGAUUCACGGGAUAGUCUAUUGAAGAAUCUCUAAUACAAGGCCAGUAGUACAGCCCCAUGAUGGUAAGAACAGUCUCCAAACAGUUUGAAAAGGUACGGUUCAAACAGAAGAAGAUGAACCAGUUUGCCAUUUGACAAAAGAGCUACUAAAAAAGUUAAGGAAGCAAUCCAGAAUAAAAUGCAAAUACAAACCAAGAAAGAUUAAGAGGAAACCACUAACAGACUUAUCUAAGUAUUUCAUUGAAGCUCAGGAUAUCUAAUCUAACACCCUUCCCGUUACAUCGACCUAUCAUUGCGUAGGGAACCAUCAAAUGUAGUGUAAUGAUGGGUUGGCUCCAUUAUUGUAGAUAAUGUUUGUUUUUUAUUAACCAAGGUUUAAUCUUGGUUAAAUUCAUAGCCAUAUCAUUCAAAAAUGUAAAGCAAUUAACUUAGUAUGCUGCAUAGAAAGGAUACAGACCAAGUUGCAACAUUUCCUCCAUAUAAAGCAUCAGAGAGUUUAUACAAAUAGAGAUCACCAAUAGCUGAAAAUAUGGAUUGCAUAAGACGUGGGGCUUUGAUCUGCAAAGAAAUGAAAAAGGUUGUAACACAUAAACCACUCUAUCAACCUUUCUUUGAAUACGGUGAAAGCUAGAUAAAACUAUGUUCAAUUGAAUCAGAUUUUGGAUAAAACUUAGUUCAAAAUCAAGAUAACUAGGUUCUGCUUCUAAUAAGACCAAAAAAAAUCGAGAAACAAACCAUUAUGUAGGGAGUAUCAAGGCCAGUAACUUGUAGAAGUUUAUACAAGAAUGCGAACAACAUUGGAUGCAAAUAGCUUCGUAUUCCUCUUUUCCACUCCCAUGUCAUAUAACCAUACCUGUCAUUAACAUCAAUCAACCAACAAAAACUUACUAUGGAUUCAUUGCUCAAAUCACUGAUUCUUCUGAAUUAUCACUUCAACUAUGUGAUUUAUGCUUCCGAGACGAAUCUAGCACUAACACAGAUCAACGAAUGCAGUAAGAGAAACAAACACCAAAGUCUCAGUUCAAUCAGUUCCCACGAAUCCAACUUCAACUAAAGGAAAAGUCAAGUUUCAGAACCAGAGAAUAGAACCAUUUACCCAAAUAUGGUGCGGUGAGCUACUUCAAGUGAUUGCCAAUGUUCGUCAGGAUUGAAAUAAGUCUGAAUCAACAAUGCAUUUACCACACGAAACGCCAAGCAGAACAAGAAUAUCCUCCUCGGAGAUCCUAUUCGACCACCAAACGAAUCAGGUUCAUCUCCGACAUUAACUGACGCGCCAUCGGCGCCACCGUCGCCAUCGCCGCCGGCGUUCUUCCGCUUCCUUAUAUCCAUCGAAGAAGUCGUUAAAGUGCCUGCGAUUAUUAACACGUUGGAUUAAUUCACUGCUCAGCUUUCCAAAUUUUAGUGGGCUUAUAUAAAACGGGCUCUUGAUUAUUUUAGGCCCAUCUAUUUUUCAGUGAAGUCAUUGCCCUAUAAUUCGAACUUCGACGAUUGAACCUAUCGUUCAGUGAAGUCAUAAUAAUUUGUUAUUCAGUUUAGUUUGUUCCUUUAUUCUCUUUUUGUUAUUUUCGAAGCAAUGCUUCGACAAGAAUACACUCUAUGGACGUUACUUAUUACUUUACUUACGUAAAGAAAUUGACCUAAUACAAACUUUACUUACGUAAGAAACUUAACUGACAUAAAACAUCUAUCCAACCAAUCUGUCAUUCAAUUGCAUGCAGAGACGUGCCUAGAUGAAAAAAUAACAUUUGCUCUCAUCUUCCCCUACACCCUUUAAAUAUCACAAUAUAUUUUGGGUCCCAAUUUUUUUUUUUAUAAUCUUCAUCUGGUAAAACAUGCUUUUUUAGUGGUCAAUCAUUUUGUGUUUUACGUUCAUAGCUCCAUUUCGUAUAGGAACGGGAGUAUAAUUAAAAAGUUGAACGGACAGAUUCAAACAAAAUACAAUCAUAAAUUUUCUUUUUUUCAUCAUUCUUUAAUACUUGUAAAACGUUGAAAUUUAUUUACUUUUCACCAAUUUGAUUGUUUGGACUUUGGAGUAGUACUAUGUAAACAAACACUAUUUUGUAACGUUAAUUAACAUCUACACAAACAACUUUAGGUAAGUAAAUAAAGUCAAAUAAAUCAUAGUUUGUUUUUUUGGAAACAUCAAGUCAAAAAACAAUAACUACUCUUUGGAAAUACAAUUAUGUAAAAAAUCCCACCUAAAUAGUCUUUGUGAAACAAAUGUAAGAAAACAAAAAAAUGGCCGUUUCAUCGUCGCAUCAUGCGGUUCUCUUCCCUUACAUGUCAAAAGGCCACACGAUUCCUCUCCUCCAAUUCGCCCGUCUCCUCCUCCGUCACCGCCGUAUCGUCUCCGUAGACGACGAAGAACCAACCAUUUCCGUCACCGUCUUCACCACCCCAAAAAACCAACCAUUCGUCUCAAACUUCCUCUCUGACGUCGCAUCAUCUAUCAAAGUAAUCUCCCUCCCUUUCCCUGAAAACAUCGCCGGAAUCCCUCCCGGCGUCGAGAGCACCGACAUGCUCCCUUCCAUAUCACUUUACGUGCCCUUCACGCGCGCAACCAAAUCUCUCCAGCCUUUCUUCGAAGCAGAACUCAAGAAUCUUGAGAAAGUUUCUUUCAUGGUCUCCGAUGGAUUCUUAUGGUGGACAUCGGAAUCCGCCGCUAAAUUUGAGAUCCCGAGACUUGCCUUCUACGGCAUGAACUCCUACGCAUCGGCUAUGUGCUCCGCCAUUUCGGUACACGAGCUCUUUACCAAACCGGAAAGUGUUAAAUCUGAUACUGAACCGGUUACUGUACCGGAUUUUCCAUGGAUAUGUGUUAAGAAGUGUGAGUUCGAUCCGGUUUUGACCGAACCGGAUCAAUCGGAUCCAGCGUUCGAGCUACUCAUUGACCAUCUUAUGUCCACCAAGAAAAGCCGUGGAGUUAUAGUGAACAGCUUUUACGAGCUCGAGUCAACGUUCGUUGACUACCGGCUCCGUGAUAACGAUGAACCAAAACCGUGGUGUGUUGGGCCUUUGUGUUUGGUAAAUCCUCCAAAACCGGAGAGUGAUAAACCGGAUUGGAUUCAUUGGUUGGACCGGAAACUAGAGGAAAGAUGUCCGGUUAUGUAUGUGGCGUUUGGAACGCAGGCUGAGAUAUCGAACGAGCAGCUCAAGGAAAUAGCAUUAGGGUUGGAAGAUUCCAAGGUACGUUAAAGAAUGGAUUAAUGCCAACUUAAAACCUCAUAUUAAUACAGUUGACCAAUCACUUUUAUUAUUCCACCAAAUUCCAUGCAUGUCCUUUUAUUUGUUUUUGGUAUCAACCCAUAAAACAUUUUUUAGUCUAUAUAUAUAUAUAUAAAGAAAAGUAUUGUUUUGUGAAUUUACGUGGUCUUGAUUGUUUUAAAAAGGUCAAUUUCUUGUGGGUCACGAGAAAGGACUUGGAAGAAGUAACUGGAGGAUUAGGGUUCGAAAAGAGAGUGAAAGAGCAUGGGAUGAUUGUGAGAGAUUGGGUAGACCAAUGGGAGAUAUUGUCACAUAAAAGUGUCAAAGGGUUUUUGAGUCAUUGUGGAUGGAACUCGGCGCAAGAGAGUAUUUGCGCUGGGGUUCCACUACUCGCUUGGCCAAUGAUGGCAGAGCAGCCACUCAAUGCGAAGUUGGUAGUGGAGGAGCUAAAGAUCGGAGUAAGAAUCGAAACAGAAGAUGUAAGUGUGAAAGGAUUCGUGACAAGAGAAGAACUUAGUCGAAAGGUACCGUAUAUAUACCCUUUCAUGUUUCCAUCUUUUGUUUUAAUUGGUGUCAUGCAUAUAUUAGAAUAAAAUGUUUUGAAUAUGGUAAUCAUGGCUUUGCUUUUUGACUAACAAAUUAACAAGAAGGAAGCCUCUUUUUCCGUUUGACUGUAGAGUACCCCUUGAUUGUAUUUAUUAUUUGUACUAUUUAGGUUAAACAAUUGAUGGAGGGAGAGAUGGGGAAGACAACGAUGAAGAAUGUAAAAGAGUAUGCGAAAAUGGCGAAAAAAGCUAUGGCUCAAGGGACUGGUUCGUCUUGGAAGAGUUUGGAUUCGCUUCUGGAAGAGCUUUGUAAGAGUAGAGAGCCAGACGGUGUUAAUAAGUUGUCAAGUUCUGAUGCUUAGAGAGAUUAAGGAUUGGAUAACAAAACGGCUUCGUACCUAAUUUUAGUCAUUAAAUAUGUUAGGUUUGUUGAAAAGUUGGUCCAUUCUUCUCAAUUGGAUAUGAAUGACUAAUUUGGAGUUCUAAUUCUUGGUUUUGGUCUUAUAGUUUCAAAAAAUUUCAAUUGCAUUCAGUGGUUGCUUUAUGAGAUUUUUGCUAUCUUUGAGGUUAAUAUUGGCUGGUCAAUCCGAAGAAGCUAUCAACACCUUAGUGUUCUUCUGAAAGACUUAAAAAUGAGUUUGUAUGCAAAAGUAGUAUCUACUAUGAGAAGAAAUCAGACUAUAUAACAUUGAGACAGUUUAAGAACAAUGUAUUUUUACUCUACACUCGUUUUCUAUAUCUAACAUCCUCAAACCGAAACGAAAAGAAAAGAAAAAUUACAAGUUGAAAUAAUUAAGGGAGUUUCCUAACUAUUUACCAUCUAAAACCAAACAGUUCACACAAAAGUUUUUUGCCCAUAAUGACUACACUUUAAACGUCUUCUUUAUCUAUAGAGAAAUCAGGCUCAUCUGGUUUGAAUAGUUGAGGCAUCUUCAAACUGGUGGAAGAUCCAUCUUUCUUACCAGUACUACUACUUGAAGCCUUUUGAUUUGUUCCUCUUCUCGUGUUCGCCGCAAAUUUAGAUGCUAAGAUCGUUGCUCCCAGAUUUGUGUUGUCCAUUGAUCCGCCUUCCUCGUCACUUCCAUAGUAAUACUCUCUAGUUUCUUCGUCUUCUUCAUUGUAACCUGUUUCAUCCGGGUAAUAGUAUCCGCUACUCUCGUGAAGGCUGAGCUCUUUCGCAAGCUUUCUUCGCUUGUAUCUUCUCCAUGCAGAUUGGACAAAACAUGCUCCCCAUGCUCUCCAUUGAUGUGAGUAGUACCUGAAAGCGUGUUGAAGCUUUUUGCUUUGAAGACGUUUGAACUGAUGAGCAACAAACUUAAGAUCCUCUGCGCUUAAUGCAAAGGCUUCUACUUCAGAGAGGGCACGGACGCUUCGUGUUGAAGACGGAAGAUUGAGUGUAGAGUUUGGCAUUAAGGCCCAUGUAAGAAGUUCUUCCCCACAGAAAUCGCCAGGUCGUAGAGUAGUGGAGUUGAAGAAACCAGAUCUUCCUCCAUUUGUUGUUGAGCUCUCUAUUUGUCCUCGGAUCACAAAUAGCAUCUCAUUCACCGGAUCACCUUCACGGAAUAUGUAUGUCCCGGCCGUGCUUAAAGAUGAGACAAGGCAUCCGCAUAUAGCAUCAAGAAGUUGAUCAUCCAUUUGAGAGAAGAACGGGACCUGCACUUACCACAACAAUGUGACUUCUGAAUUGAAAAACAAUCAAAUCCAUAACAGUUUUUGAUGACUGAGUUGAUGUAUGUACCCGGCGAACAAGGGAGAGACAAAGAUGACGUUGGAUUUCACGGCGUAAAUCUGUAGGUAAUGAAUGGAGGAUUGAUUCUUCAUCGACACCUCUGGUUGCAAGCCAUUUGUAUUGGACAAAUCUUCGGACACGUUCUUGAAGCUCUGGAGGUAGUUGACGAUGUCUCAUCCAUUCUUCAGUGUCUCUUCUCUUAACUCUCCAUUCCUCAACUCUUACUGACAUCGAUUGCAGAGAAGACUUUCCACCAAAUUAAAAAUCAUGAAGUCUAUUGUUAGAAAGACAAAAAAAUGUCUCUGUAUUGAAAAGUUUUGCAGAGUGAUGCAUAAGCUCUGAAUCUUACUUGCAUGUUACCAAUCAGGAGUGUGAAGAGAAUCAACCCAAAAAUACAAAUUGUUAUACAGAACAAGGUCUCGCCAAGGUAUACACUUGUGGUUAUAUUCUGUCCAUAAGAACUGUGAAACAAAACCUUUAUUAAAACCAAAGGAGGACAAUUUAAGCAGAUACUGGUUAGAUAAAAGGUUGUCAUACCUUAGAUUUCUUAAACCCCACCAAAGACAAUACAAGUACUUGGACACAAAAUCUGUUGUAGCAACUUGAGUGGUAAAGGCUUCAGCAAACAUUCCGAAUUUGAAAUUGGUAGUGCUGCUUGUAGCAUCACAAUGAGAAAGGACCUGAGUAACGUUCUGCCAAUACUGGCGCUCUGGUUGUUCUAAACUCUUGCAAUCCAAGAAGCUAGGAAGACAAUCCAAAACUCUCAAAGCGUUGUCUUUCUUGCAUACGUUGGACCAGCACGAAAACUGCCGCCCGAUUGAUGACAGAUACCACAUUGCUCCUAACACCUGCCCACAAAUAGAGAUUCUUAGCAACUUAAAACUGAAGAAACCUAAAGAUUUGAAAAAACACACAAGAUAAAGAAAACUUACGUGACUAGCAAGGAUGUACAAUAGGAGGUUGUAUGCAGCUCCUGCCCAAGCAGUCUUGGCGAUAAACCCGGUUGUUUUGAUAAUCCUUUGGUUGAGUGGGAAUAUGAUGAAUGAUCUUGGAAUGUAUUGAACAAGAACGAUAAGUGCGAGAGUGCUAUUGGCAUGAUUAGCAGUUCCAUUUGUGGCCGCUGGAAUUACUAGCCAAAUAACAAGCUGAGAUCAAAAGAUAGUCAGAAACAAAGCAUGAGGCUCCCAAAAUAUCUCUGUUCUUUAAUCUUCUAGCUACCGCCUAACGAUUUUUGAACAUUGAUCUUAGCUAAUCGUAAUCCAUAUCAUUGCUUUCACAUUCAAAAUAAGAGCAAAAUCUUAAGAACCUGAGGAAGGGGAAGCAUGGCGGCGACAUCAAUGAGGAAAUCUGUCUUCAAGUAUCUCAUAGCAAUCUCUCUAGAAUCCAUAACAAGCUCACCGCGACCAAAAACACGAGAACUCCUCGCGACGAACGCAGUUCUGAAUUUCAUGAAAAUGUGCAAGAGGUGGAAGAUAUCGGCGACUGUACGGAAGAAAGUGACAGUAGCGGCGAGGCUGAUGUCGAUGGAGAGACACGCCGGACCACCGACGUAAGGGACGUAGAAAUAGAAAGGAUCGAGGAAGAGAGCGAGGAUUGAGGUAAUGAGAAAGACGUGGUUCCAAUAGGUGACGAUGUUGCUGUCCGGGUCCAGGAUCUGAUGCCGCCAUAGGACGCUGAAUUGGCUACCGUCAGAUCCUCGAUUUGAGGCGGCGGUGGAGGCGGAGGUUAUGGUCUCCGGGAGGAGGCAGCGGAGAGACCGGAUUUUAUUCAUCUUCCAUGGCGGAUUCCGGUGUUAAAUCGGAUUCCGCAUUAACACAGAGAGAGAUUGAGAUUGAUGGACAGAGAGGCUAGGUGGUUGCGUCGUGUGAUUUUUUGUUUUUUUGGGUUUUUGCAUUUUGUUUUUGAUGAUUAUGGAAGAAGGAGAGGAUUUCUCGCGGGAAAACUGAGAGAAGGGCCAUGGAAAUAGGGGGAAGGGUAGUUUUUGAAAAUAUGAUGGGAGAAUGAGGGUAUUUACGGAAUGUUAUAGUUGCGGGUCUCGUUUGUUUAUGCUGUUUUUGUGUUCUCAAAACAGCACACGUUUUGCAUCUCAAAACUUCAAUCGACACAAUAUCUACUGUUCUUAGUUGUUGGACCCACCGGCCCAAUAGUUAUAGAUCGGCCCAAUAGUUAUUUUUUUCUACUUUUUUUCUAUGAAAAUCAAAGGGAUAUAUACUAUAUAUGCUUUAGGAUUUUAAAAUUACACAUUAUAAUGUAUACAAUUGCUAUGAUCAUUUCUAUUGAUAAACUAAUAAUGUUUUUAGUAGUUUUAACUUAAAGUCCGGUUUAAUAUUGUUUAGUUCAAUUGUUCAAAGAAUAAAAAAAAAAAUUAUAAUUAAUUCGUAAAACCAUGAUAAGAUUAGUUAAAAUAUCUAAUUCGUUAUGAGGUUCAUUAGAAUUUAUUUAAGUGAAUUAUUGAAGUUUUAUGAGCUACAUUUAUUAUAUUUUGUCAACACAUUAAACCCGUAAUUCAAUUAUACUGUCUUUUGUAGUAUUUCCGUUUUUGACAUCAGUUUAACAAAUUGUCUUACAUAAUUCAUUUGUUGUUGUUAUGUACUAUUAAAAGUAUAUAGAAGCACGCGUACCAAACAUUCUGUGACAAUAUGUGGUAGUGGGAAGAUAGUGUACAUGCUUGUUGACACCAUCCAUAAGAUAGUGUACCUAUAAAAUAACAAAAAGGGAAUAGAAAUCCUUAGAAACAAUUAUGCGAAUAUAAAAGGGAUAAUAAGAAGUGAGAAUAAUAAAAUGAAUACUGAAAUUAAAAAUUACGUCACGGAAAAAUGAUGUUUAUCCACACAAAAAGAACAACAACUUCCAUCAUAUCAUAUAGAGGGACAUACUAACUUUUCCACUUCCAAAAAAUCACACUUAUGCGUAAUUGUUUUCUCUAACAAUAAUGACGUAUUUUAGUCCUUCAAAUUUUAGUACUCCAUCAUUUUCCGAUUAGACACAAAGUAGUAAUUUCAAUAUAAAAAAUUAAUAACAAGCUUUUAUAAAUGAUUAUGAUAACUUAUACUAACAUAUGUGACAAUAUUGUUUUCUCUAUGCUUGUUAAACGUAAUUAAGAAACAAUGAUGUUAAUUACUCCAACUAAUUCAUGGAUCUAGAAAUACGAUGUUGGUUAAACAUUAUUAUCGACUAAUUUAUUACUUCGUUAAUGGCUGCUAUUAAGUAUGACCACGUGUGGCAGAUUUGAGAUGUUUAGCGAUCUUUAAAUAUAGAAUCCGACGGGAUCCAAUUCUCCUCUUUUUUUUUUAUUCCACUUUGCCACUGUGAUUAUAUAAUAAGUAUGAUUAAUUAAGAGAUUUACAUUCUAUUGAUUUACUUUAUUAUUUUAUUCAUGUGGAGUAGACUAUACGACAACUACUUUAUCGUUACUUUUUAAUUUUAUUUUUUAGUGAAAAUUUGCUAGUCAAGUUUAGAAAAUUCAAAAUAGCAUUUCACUUUUAUAUGCACGAUUGAUUUCGUUGCUUAUAUUAAGAUAAGGAAAACAAAUGUUACUCUUCCUAAAAAAAUUGUUCUUUGAGAAUACAAUUUACGUGUUCCUCUUUUCAAUAAAGUCGCUGGUGUUUAUGAAACACACAUUAGAAAGAAAAAAAAAAGAUUUAAAACAUUUAUGAAGAUGGCAAAGGUUCCCACUUCCCAUUGUAGGAAGCAACAAAUUUCCUUUUUGUUUGAUUAAUAUAAAUGCUUACGGGACGCAAGAAGAAAUUUCGUGAUCGUGAACAUAUUAAUCAUUUGGGACCCUAAUGAAAAAGACUAAUAAAAUCUUUUGUUUUAUCGAAUAAAAAGUAGAUUGUAGUUUUGUGAAGUUUAAAGCACUCGCUUAUCAAUUGUUUUAUCUAAAGAAAUAAGAUAAGCUGCUUUCAAAGUGGUAAGAGUUAGGUCUUGAUAAAAAAAAAGUCUUGAAGGUGGUGCCACACCAAAAUCCUUGCACCUUUCUAUUACAUACACACGUGUAUAGAGAUUUUUAGUCAUAUCUUUGAAUAAAUAAUCUUUGGAUAUAUGUAUAGUGAAUAAUUUGUGGGUUUGAGAGUUGGAGAGGAUGAACUACAGGUCACGUAAUAUACCCUAAAAUAAACCAUCACGAAAGAAUAGAAUAGAGAAUCUCUUGGUACUAUCAAACAAACAAUAAAAAAAAAAAAAAGUAAAAGUGACGAAGACACCAAUCUAUUCAUUUCCCACCCAUCUCCCAUUAAUAUUUCUUUCAUCUCUUAUUAUUUUUUACAUGCAUAUUUUUCUAUCUCUAACCUUUUGUUUUUGGUUCACUCAAAAUUUGUGGUACUUUGAUCCACAUAUAAUAUUUGCAUAUGUUAGUACGGUCUUAUAUAAUAGCCAUGUGAUAGUAAACCCUUUCACAACAUACAGUAAAUAUACCUAGUAUAUAUAGUUUCAACGGUUCAAGAUUCAAAAUAUCGUCUUAAACAGCGACCAGAUAUUCUUGAACCUCCAAAACGAUCUAAUUUUAAUAAAUUGGUGAAUGAAAUCGAUUUAUUAGUUUAAGCUUUUAAAAUCGGUUUUGAUCAAUCAAAUCGGCCUAGUGUGAAAAAACAGAAAUUUUUCUAUUUUCUUUUUUUUUUUUUUUUUUUUUUUGCAGCGAAUCUAUAAUACAUGUAAAAUUAACUAGUGUGAAAAAAUGUUACAAAGAUCUUACGUGAAUUUCGACACAAUCACCUAUAUAUAGUCAAAAAUGAAUUUUGAUAUAAUAAUACUAAUAUACUUAACCAUAUAAAAAGAUUUGCACAUUCUUCCAUAACAAAGAAGGCCCCACUAAUUUUCUUAAGGAGUAUGUUAUUUUGCAGUUAUAUUUGUGGCAGUUAUCUUAAUCAUUCUUUCAUAUGUUUUGUCUGUGUGUUUCCUCUCUCUCUCUCUCUUUGUGGUUCUUGAUUUUGUUGGCCAAACCUUUUCCUUUGUACCUUCAAUGCCAUUAAUCACAAACCCAAAGAAUCCAUAGAGAAAAAGUUCCUAACGUCAAUCGAAUUAAAUUCCCCACUUUUCCACAAAAACUAAAUCGCAUCUUUUGAAGUUUCUCAUCUCCCAAAAAUGUUAUUCCUUUGAUCUUUAGAUACAAAACCCAUUCAAUGGAUCUCGAGCGUCUAAGCCCAAGAAAUCCAGUUAAGGUAUAAAAUUCUCAAUAUUCAAUUCCAUAAUCCUUUCUUUCUUUUAGUUGCUUAAAUUGGUAAUGGUUUUUGCAGAAAGAAUCUUGGUGGACGGUUCUGACAUUAGCUUACCAAAGCUUAGGUGUAGUCUACGGAGAUUUAGCAACUUCACCAUUGUAUGUCUACAAGAGCACUUUUGCUGAAGACAUAACACAUUCUGAGACAAACGAAGAGAUCUUUGGUGUUCUGUCUCUUAUCUUCUGGACAUUAACUUUAAUCCCACUUGUUAAAUACGUUUUUAUUGUUCUUCGUGCUGAUGAUAAUGGUGAAGGUGGGACUUUUGCUCUCUACUCUUUAUUAUGUCGCCAUGCUAGAAUCAGCUCUUUGCCCAAUUUCCAGCUCGCUGAUGAGGACCUUUCUGAGUAUAAGAAAAAUUCCGGGGAGAAUCCGAUGAGAUUAAAAGUUCCGGGGUGGAGUUUGAAAAACACUCUGGAGAAGCAUAAGUUUCUGCAGAAUAUGUUACUUGUUCUUGCUCUGAUUGGGACUUGUAUGGUUAUUGGUGAUGGUGUUCUCACACCUGCAAUCUCUGGUAAAAGAUUGUUUCCUUUUUGUUAGAUUUGUGUGGAUUUCUCAAGAUCUUUAGUAGUUGAUGGUUUUGUAUUAUUUUUGGGUGUGAAUUUGCAGUUUUCUCAGCAGUCUCUGGAUUAGAAUUAUCCAUGUCUAAGCAGCAACAUCAAUGUAAGCUCUUUACUUCUUUUGAUCAGGAUGUAAAAUUGGAAUUUUUAGUAUCACUAGAUCCCCAAAAUGUCAAAUUAUGCUAUUUUUAGUGUUUUCCUCUGAAGUUUAGUCCAUACUGUUUAAGAUAGUUUAGGAGCAGGAUUUGCUGCAUCAGGUAGUUUUAGAUUAGCUAUUUUGGUCUUUCUUUUGUCCACAUAGUCAAUUGGCUACUUGCAUGUUAGGUUGAAUCCAUGUAGGAUCAACAAGAAGCUUCUUAAUUAUGUAUAAAAUAAGUUAAUUAACUUUUUUUUUUGGUGUGGAAGGUGAGUCUGAUGCAGAUGCAUUCUUAUAAUCAUAAGAUAAUGAAUGUGGUUUAGGAGUUAAUAAUUUAUUAAAGAUAUAAAAUCUAAAGGAAUAUAAAAGUCAUAAAGCUUAUACCUUUUGAAAACUCAAGUGGUCAAAGAAAAAGGUAGUUGGUUUGGAUAAGAAGACUAUCAAGUCAUAAAGUUCUUAUGAAUUUGAAGUAACCUUCUUUAUUUGAAUCAUUAACCUGCACAAUUCUUGCAGAUGUGGAGGUGCCUGUGGUCUGUGCCAUACUGAUACUCUUGUUCUCGCUACAACACUAUGGAACACAUCGUUUAGGUUUUGUUUUUGCUCCCAUUGUGCUUGCAUGGCUUCUCUGUAUAAGCACCAUUGGUGUAUACAACAUCUUCCAUUGGAAUCCUCAUGUUUACAAAGCAUUGUCUCCUUAUUACAUCUACAAGUUCCUCAAGAAAACUCGUAAACGCGGAUGGAUGUCCCUCGGUGGCAUCCUUUUAUGCAUUACAGGUAACAAAAGAGAGAAAGAACUGUUUUGUUUUUGAGUUUCAAAGCUUUUUUCCCAUAAAUUUGUUUCUGUCCUGUUUUCGCAGGCUCGGAAGCUAUGUUUGCUGAUCUAGGACACUUCACUCAGUUGUCAAUACAGGUAAAGUUUUGUAAACUUUGAAUAUUUUGUGUUCUGUUGUUAGCUGUCCCUGAAACCUGCAUGUUUUUUUUGACUCCCUGGCUGCAGAUUGCAUUCACAUUCGCUGUUUACCCGUCGUUAAUCCUCGCAUACAUGGGUCAAGCCGCGUAUCUAUCUAAGCACCAUGUCCUCCAGAGUGACUACCGGAUUGGAUUCUAUGUUUCUGUACCAGGUAUAUAUCUACUCAUCAUCUUGUUAACCAGCUAAAAUGCAAUUCUUUGUUUGGCAUAGUUUUUCACUAGUUUGUUUGUUGUGUACAGAGCAAAUAAGAUGGCCAGUUUUAGCAAUUGCUAUAUUGGCAGCUGUUGUUGGAAGUCAGGCAAUAAUCACAGGAACAUUCUCGAUCAUCAAGCAAUGUACUUCUCUAGGUUGCUUCCCAAAAGUCAAAAUCGUACACACUUCGUCGAGAAUGCAUGGUCAGAUAUAUAUCCCUGAGAUCAACUGGACUCUCAUGCUCUUGUGCUUAGCCGUCACCGUUGGAUUCCGCGACACCAAACACAUAAGCAAUGCAUCAGGUACAGUAUCUGUAACCAUAGCCAUAACCACUAAACUAACAAAUGUAUGAAAAUCAAGAAACUCUCCGGUUCUGAUUUUUUUCUUCUCUGUAAUCUGUAUGCAGGUUUGGCGGUUAUUACCGUUAUGCUAGUAACGACUUGCUUGAUGUCUUUGGUAAUAGUCUUAUGCUGGCGCAAAAGCUCCCUCUACGCACUAGCCUUCAUUUUCUUCUUCGGAACAAUUGAAGUUCUGUAUUUCUCAGCUUCACUCAUCAAAUUCCUCGAAGGGGCUUGGGUUCCAGUCGCACUCUCCUUCAUCUUCCUCCUCAUCAUGUACGUUUGGCACUACGGAACCCUUAAGCGUUACGAAUUUGACGUUCAAAACAAAGUCUCAAUCAACUGGCUCCUCACACUUUUCGGCUCUUCAAACCUCGGAAUUGUCCGAGUCCAUGGAAUCGGCGUGAUCAACACCGAACUUGUCUCGGGCAUACCAGCUAUCUUCUCUCAUUUCAUCACUAACCUCCCGGCGUUUCACCAAGUCGUUGUCUUCCUCUGCGUGAAAUCUGUCCCCGUCCCGCAUGUGAAACCGGAGGAACGGUUUCUAGUGGGAAGGGUUGGACCGAAGGAGUACCGGCUCUACCGGUGUAUAGCCCGGUAUGGAUACCGCGAUGUACACAAAGACGAUGUCGAGUUUGAGAAUGACCUCAUUUGCAGUAUCGCGGAGUUUAUCCGUUCAGAUAAACCAUUGAAUUACUCCCCGGACCCGGAAAAUGAAUCUGGAAUAAAUGAGAGGCUAACUGUCGUCGCGGCUUCCUCUUCCAAUCUUGAAGGCGUACAAAUCUAUGAAGACGAUGGUUCUGACAAACAAGAACCAUCUUCUUCUUCGGAGGUAAUCAUGGUGGCUCCUUCUCCGAGAUUCAAGAAAAGGGUACGGUUUGUGUUACCAGAAAGUGCGAGGAUCGAUAGAUCGGCGGAGGAGGAGCUAACAGAGCUCACUGAGGCUCGUGAGGCAGGAAUGGCGUUUAUAAUGGGACAUUCAUAUGUGAGAGCAAAAUCGGGAUCGAGUGUGAUGAAGAAGAUCGCUAUUAACUUUGGCUACGAUUUUCUUAGAAGAAACUCAAGGGGUCCUUGUUAUGGUCUCUCUACUCCUCACGCUUCUACUUUAGAAGUUGGUAUGGUUUAUAUCGUUUGACUAUACUUUUUUCUUUUUUGUUAAAUCUGAAUAAACUUCAGUUUUGUAAAUUAUGGUAAGAUAAAUUUGUCAGAGUUCUUUUUCGUUGUUGUUGUAAUUUUUGUGUAGAGAUGUUAGAGUUGCGUGUGGCAUAAGUGACAUGCUUUUUGUUUUUGUAAUGACUUGUCCCUACUGAUUAGGAUUCAAAGAGAAAAGGAUUGAAGAAUAAGCAGACAAGACUGAGCAUAUGAUUCUUGUCUCUUUAUGUUUCUUUAACUCCAAAUCUUCUCUUUUGUCGGUUUAUCUCAUCAUAUAUGUAAGUGCAUAGAAACACAUAUACAUGUACAAUUGCAUAUUUAUCUACUCUCUGAACUUGUGAGCAACUCUUGCUCUGUUUUCCUUAAAAAAAAUGAGGAAAAAUGCAAAUUUGUUGAUUUUGUUUAUGAUUUUCAUGUUUUUCUUUUGUGGGUUAUCCUCAGUUUCAGCUAAACCUCCUCCUGUUAGUGAGUUGUUUAUUACCCUAAACUGAUUUUCUUUAUAUAAAUACAAGUUUUCACUUUUGUUGUAAUGAAUGUCUGAAAAUGUUCUUGUUUUUCUCUGUUUUGGGAACAGAGAUUGUAAGUGGGCUUGUGACAAAUGUAGCAUCGAUACUCUGGAAAUGGUUAUGGUCUCUUCAAACAUCCACAACCACAACAACCACCACAAAAUCUGGUAAGAAGACCCACAAACAAAGAAGUGUAUAAUGAUCUUGAUUUCAAAGUUUCAAUUGCAAAAAUAAAGAGAAACUUGAGGAAAUGUAACAGGUGUUUCUAGCCGUUCGAUGGUGAAAUACGAAAGUGGAUAUAACAUGGAGACAGUUUUUGAUGGAAGUAAGCUUGGGAUUGAGCCCUAUGCGAUUGAAGUUUCCCCUAAUGGAGGAGAGCUUAUUGUCUUGGAUUCUGAGAACAGUAACAUCCACAAAAUCUCCAUGCCUCUUUCUAGAUGUAAGUUCACUUCAUAUCUAUCUUGCAUUUGAUUGAUUAUAAAGAAACUCUUAAGAUCGAUUUUUCCGGACACGUAUACAAUUUAUUUUAUGGGAUAUUCAAUCAAUUCCCAUUCCUAUAUAUGACCCACCAAAAAUGUUAAAUCAUGUAUGCACAAUUAUGCUUUGCUUCAAGAUGGGGAUUCGUUUUGGUGCGCUUUUUAUUUUUUAGUUCAGUUAAAAAGUGAGUUCUUCAUUUCAGAUUCCAAAGUUUCUUUCUUUGAAAACCAAAGCCUUUUAUAGAUUAUAACUUUUGCACUUUAGUCCACAACACGACUCAUUAGCUUUUAUCCAUGCUCUGCUUUGUUCUCUGUUUUUCAGGUUUAUUCAUUCUGUUCUUUCUUGUUCGUCAAGUUAACAACCUUUUGUCAGACUAAAGCACCGAACUAUUGCUUAUGGAUAGAUUCUAGGAUUUAAAUUAGACAGAUUCAGAUUCUUAGGGAUUUGUGAAUUAAUCUGUGUUUUUGAAUAUGCUGAAGAUGGUAAACCAAAGCUACUCUCUGGUUCACAAGAAGGCUACACAGGACAUGUCGAUGGGAAACUCAAAGAAGCGAGAAUGAAUCGUCCUCGAGGAUUAGCCAUGGACGACAGGGGGAACAUCUACGUCGCCGAUACUAUCAAUAUGGCCAUACGCAAGAUCAGCGAUGACGGUAACUACAAUUCGUUUGCAUGCGUUUCCGCUUUGAAAAACGGAAUUUUAAUUAAAGUUUUUUUGUUCAGGAGUCUCAACCAUCGCCGCUGGAGGAAGAUGGAGCGGUGGAUCUAAAGAGGAGUCAAUGAGAUUCUCCGAUGACUUUGAUUUAAUAUAUGUCUCUUCAAGCUGCUCUCUUCUAGUCAUUGAUCGAGGGAAUCAAUUGAUUAAAGAGAUUCAGCUUCACGAUCAUGACUGUUCUCAACCGGAACCCGACACAGAUAGUCUCCAUCUUGGUAAGCUUCUUGAAAAAACGACAUUGGUUGUUUAUAUUUGGUGUUGUGGUUUUCUUAAAAACGAUGCCAUUUCGGUUUGUAUAUCUUUGUAGGAACCGCUUUGCUGGUUGCUGCUGUGUUCUUUGGGUAUAUGUUAGCAUUAUUAGUUCGUAGGGUACGAUCGCUGUUCUCUUCGUCUAGCCAUGUGAGUGAAUCUGUUUGCUUUGGUUUGGUUCGGUUCGAAAUUUGAACUAGGGUAGACAACCAAUAAGCCUCAUUGCUCUGUUUUUGAUUUCAGGAUACUAAGAGUAAGAGACAUGUAGCAACACCGAGCAUGACAAUGGCUCCGUACCAACGUUAUCCAAGACCGGUACGACAGCCAUUAAUCCCACCUCAACAUGAAUCGGAAAAAGAAGAAGGAUUUCUCGGUUCGCUUGGAAAGCUAGUCGUGAAAACCGGUUCUUCGGUUUCCGAGAUGAUGUCCGGUUCUAGAAAUGUAAUUCCCCCAAACUUUCAUCAGUACCACCAUCAGCAAGAACCGAACCAAUGGCCGGUACAAGAGAGUUUCGCUAUACCGGAAGAAGAUGGACCACCAGCUUUAGAACCGAGAUCAGGUACAAAUCCAGAUAAACCCUACCUUAGAGCACAAGGAACCAACCAAAACCGGUCUUAUUACCAAGACUAUGAUCAAUACCAAAACCAGCAGAAACGCAAUGUGAACGAUACAGCGUCGUUCGAAGAUAACCGAGAGAAGAACGAGAUUGUUUUUGGGGCAGUUCAGGAGCAGGACGGUCGCCGAGAAGCCAUGGUGAUCAAGGCCGUUGAUUUCAACGAAGCCAUUAACGAUCAGCGCAAUCUACGGCCCAGAAUUAAUUAUAUGGGAUAUUCUUCACAAGUUUACUGAUUAAAGAAAGUCAAAUUUUCAUAAUUUACGUAAAGCGUGUGUAAUAUAUUUCUUCAAGUUCUUAUUUUAAUGUAGGAUACUUUAAAUCAUAUAAUUGGCUCACUAACGGUCGACCGUUAUAAAAGUUACCGGGACUAACGGCUUACUGCACCGACUUAACAAGUUAUACUAUGAGAUCAGACCAUCUAAUAUUUAACAAAUCUACCGGUUCAAUUUCGGUUCAUAUCAGCAAAACCGAUGGCCAGGUAAGUGAAGAUUCUUAAAAACCGGUUUAUGGCAGUUACGUACGCAAUUCCAGCUCUUGAUUUAGUUGCCAUUUAUAUCCCAUUUAUUUCGCAUUGGUUAUACAGAGUACGAGAGAGAAAUAGAAGACGAAGAAGAAGAAGGAGAUUUCUUGCAAGAGAAAGAGAAAAUUAGGGUUAGGGUUGCAGAGAAACAGAGAGGAAGAAGGAUUCGAAGAAUCCAAAUCCAAGCUCUGUAUUCAUCUCUCUCCCUUUCUCUUAAUCUUUACGAUCUUUCUCAAAAUCAAUCUCAUUGUUUCAUGGGCCUUGAAUCUUUUCCGAUCUCUGAAAUGGACGCGACCGAUGAAAUGCACGAAGCCAUGUUCGCGAAACGAGGUUGUUGUUUUAUCCUCCCUUGUCUUGGAUCAUCUCAGCCAUCUGGUCCUAACGGAUCUGUGUGGUGGCAACGAAUCAGAACCGUUGAUAAAUUGGAGCCUGAUGAGCGGUGGUGGGUCUCUGGGUGGAUGAAGAUGAGGGAAUGGUCUGAGAUCGUAGCUGGUCCCAAAUGGAAAACUUUUAUCCGUCGCUUUGGACGUAAUCACUGCUGCAACGGUGGCAUUGACGGUGGUUGUAAUCGGCCGGAGCAUGUUAGUUUCCGGUACGAUUCGUGGAGUUACUCGUUGAAUUUCGACGACGGGAAACAGACGGGUCAUUUCGAAGAUGAGUUUCCUUACCGUGAUUACUCGAUGAGGUUCGCUGCGCCGUCUCUGCCGGUUUCUACUAAAUGCUCCAUUGAUUUCGACAAUGAUAACCACGCGCCGUCGCUGUUUAAGUGAAAAAUGUCACGCGCUUCUCUGUUCCGGUACUGCUCUGUUCUAAAUGGGCUGGCGCUAACGUGCACCGCACUGAUGAAAGGGGAGAUACAUUAGAAGAAACAGUGGAUUUUUUUCUUUGCAAAGAAAUAUUACUUUUUUACACAGCUUUCAUUUAUUUGUUUUUUGUAAUUCUUUCACUUUGAAUGAAAUUAUUUAUUUGAUCACUAUUUUCUCCCAUUUUUGAUUAACUUUAUUUGAUCAAAUUUUGUGAGAAAAUUGUUAGUGAUCAAUUUUUGUAAUUCUACACACAAAGAUAAACUUUUUAGAGAAAGACAUGAUGAAGGUAGGAAACAUAUAUUUAUAUAUUUAUGUAAAAUACAGUAUAUAAUCCAACAAGAAAUAGGAGAAAGGAAGCUAUUUAAUGGGUUGGAGAAGGUUGCAAUUGCAGAGGAAUAGCAACAGAAACGGUAAGAGACUGUCUUUGUGCCUGUCUCUACCUUCAGACAUGCUCACCAUGUUUUUUUCAGGUACAUUACAUUGUUGUAGAAUUACCUUAUGCAAUUUCCUAUUUGGAACCUUGCCAAAAGCUAGAGUUUACUUCUAAGUACCUCUGCUGAUUUCCUACAGUUUCAUGUGUUCAGAAAACUAAACACAAUGUAAUGUUUCAGACAAUGAUCUUGUCUUGUGGUUGAAUCAGUUUUUUUUUUUUUUUUUUUUUUUUUUUUUUUUCUGUAGAAACUUUUUUACGUUUUAGCUACUACUCACUUGUACAUUUUUUAUAUCGUUGGUGGAUCUUAUAUUUUUUAAAUGUUGUCCAUCUUGUCCGUUAAUUAGGUGCAGUAUGAUUUAAAGUGACGGUAUAGCGUUAUGGAUCUUAUUACUUCUGCAGAGAUGCUAAAAUUGAUGAACAAUAUGCUUUUAGAAUAAGUGGUAAUAGCUUAGUGAUUUAGACAUAUUACCCUGAAUUAAGGGAUGGAUAUGGGUAUUGGAAUCUUAUUCAACUAAUAAGGUAAUGAUGUGAAAGUUUAGCUCUGAGUUUUUAUGCAGCUGGAAGCAUCUCAUUGGUGUUGGAACUAAGCUUUUCAUUGCAAGUUGCAGAUAUAUUUAGCUUACACAAUGGCAAAAAAACAAAAUUAAUGUAAUUAAAAACAAAAUUUUCUCUUUAAGAAUUGCUAUACAAUUUACAACUCCUCUCUUCUGACAGUUUUCUCUUCUUAUAGUGCCUUUCAAGAACUCGUUUGGCCUCAGAACUGGGAAAGUUAGCAAGCUUAUAGUAAUGUGGUGCAACAUCUACAAGCCAUUCACCGCGAAUAUGUGUGACGGUUCGGAUGAAAUUUCGGCUAGUGAAAACGUAUUCGUUGUAAACUACCCACUCUGGUUUGUGAUCCAAGCAAUUGGAAGGAUGCAAGUGCACCACUUGGUCAUCCUUAUCUCUGAAAGUCAAGUAGUGGCCAGUGCGUUCUAGGUGAGCCACUUGCAUGAAAUAACCUGCAAGCAAGGCCUUUCUUAUGUUGACGUAGUAGUCCCUGCUGUUGAAAUCAGGGCUACACAACUUAAUCUGAAACCUCAACAUGAUCCGGACCAACUGCUCUCUAACACUAACUGCAGACUUCAUUGCUCUGUAGUUGAUGAACUUUGUACAGCACCAAUUUGGGUCUUGGUUGUUUUGCAAGAAAGCAUGGAACAAAUUCAAAAGUGUGAGAUGAUCUCCAUCAAUGUGUGCAAAGCUAGAUUUGGCUUCAUCUGCUGCUUUUUGAGCUUCUCCUCUUGGCCUGAUGAAACAAUUUGGUACUGAUAACAUCGCAGAAAUCGAAAGAAUCUCGUUUGAGCAGUUGAAUUGAGGACUGACUAUGAGCAUCUUUGCCAUCUGUGGGUCUAAAGGAAACUCACUCAUCAUCUCACCUGUCUUUGUCAAGUUACAGUCAUCAUCAAGUGCUCCCAAAUGAUACAAAUCGUCCAAGGCCCGAGCGAGGGUAUCAGGAGCAGGAGAAUCUAUAAGAUCGAAGCGUACCAAGUUUUUCACACUAAGUCCUUUCAAGGUCAGAACUGUGUUUGCAAGGUUUGUCAUUGUCAUUUGCAAGGAGUAAUAUAAUGUUUGAUGGUCAAAAAUUAUAUUACUCCAUGAAUUUAUGAACCUUCUGACAGAAAGAGAGCUUUUCUAAAGGGUAUUUAUGUCUUUUUACAGGCUUGCUUCGAGUGGAUAAUGUGAGAAAAGAGCAAAACACAAAAAUGAAAAAACCUUCUUCUCUUGUAACUCGCACAACCUUAUCGAGUGAAAGAAGAUUGGGUCAGUAGUGAAAAAUGGCGUCGAUUGCAGCUUCUUCUACCUUUCACUCGUUUUGCAGAACCAAAAGCCCUAAUCUUUCUUCGACCCACCUUCUUCCUUUGUCGAAAAACCUCAACUUUCGGACCAGAGCUAUCGGAAAUAGCCGCAAUUGCAGUUUUGCUGGGUUUAUAAAACAAAAUCGCCUUGGAUUGAGGAAGCUUUCGUCUAUUGGAGAAGGAGGAGAAGGUGUCGCUGUCGCAGAGGAGCAACCGCAAGAGACUGUCUCUGUUCCUGUCUCUCCUUCAGACAUGCUCACCAUGUUUUUCCAGGUACAUCACUCUCUGUCCAGUGAAUUUGUGUGAUUAUCAUCCUCAUUCUCCACUUAUGGCUUUUUAAUAGAUAUAGUAGGAUUGAUUCAUGGUUGUAUUAUAAGGUCUUAGAAAUGAGGUUUGCAAAAUUGUAUUGAUACUGUUUUGAAGAUACUAUGAGCAUUACUCUGUUGCAAUUUCAUGUGGCCUCAAAUUGAGUCUGAACAUUGUUGGAUUUUUUGCUUGAUUAUGAAGGCUGAUGGAACUUUGAACGAAGCAGCUAUUCCUAAUGUGACAAGGGCCUUACAGGUAAUACUUUGCUUUGUAAUCUCUCCUUGAACUAGCAAAUCUGUGUGGAGCUUGACGAGAAUCUUUGUGAAUGCAUCUGGUUCUUGGAUUAUAUAACCCUUUUGGUUACUUGUUUCAAUUCAAUUUAAUCUUUGUAGUUGUGUUAAACUUGGAAUUUGGGUGUUCACUUUACUCUUUCCACGCUCUAAAUCUUCCUUAGUACCUAUAGCUUACAAAAACAGUGAAUAUAAAGGUUCCAAUUGAUACUUGUUUUGUUCUUUCAGGAUAUUGAUGGAGUUUCCAAUUUAAAGGUUCAGGUUUCUGAAGGUGUUGCCGUCGUUGAGGUAUGUUUUACAUCCAACAUUGCCUUUACAUGUCUCUUCACACCCCUACACAGUACACAUAUAUGUUUAGAGGAUAUAAAUAGAUAAGGACAGAUGUUGAAUAUGUUAUUAGAGAUAUAAUGGCUGGCACACCCUUAGAAGGACUGGACUGGUCAAAUAUGUCAUUUUGUUGUACAUUUUGGUGGUUAACCAGGGGAUUAGUCUUUGGGGCCGUAUAACAAAAGCCUCGAGCCUGACCUUGAAUAGUUAAGGCCUUUAUAUGAACGGUUCUGUUACUGCUCGUAGCAACAUCUCUAUGUUUGAUUGUACAAUUGAAUCUGGCUUAUGUUGUGAUCAAUGUAUGUGAAGCUUUUGAAGCAAACAACGGUUCAAGCAACAGGAGUGGCGUCAAACUUGGUGGAGACUAUACAAGGAGCUGGAUUUAAGUUACAGACUUUGAAUCUGAGUUUUGAAGAUGACGAUGAGGUUCUUGUCUAGUGAAAUCAUCCUUUUCCUCCAUUUUGUGAUUAAAGAAACUCAUAAUGUUCAAUUCUAGGGAUAAUUUCUUUCAUUUGUUCCUCUAAAGAAAACAAAUGUGGUAACUUUUUUUAGAAAGUGGGAAUUAAUGUUUUCUUUGUUGAAAUAAAAGAGAAAUGGAAAAUAUCUAUAUUGAUUAGUGGGUCAUAUACAUAUGGGUUCCCACAAAGCAUGGAGGUUGGCAUUUUUAUAGACUUUUAGGUUCAUUGCUUUGUACAAUGCAUUUAGUUUUGUGUGUGGAUAUGAUUGUCAUUUGUCACUAUGUAUAUGUAUGCAUGUACGAUGUUGACAUUGUGGAGUACUGUGGUUGAUGAUAUGGUGAAUCACAGCUCAUGCAUUGUUGUACUUAUAACCCAAAUCUUUACUUUUUUAAAAAAUGUGAUAUUAUAGACCAAAAACCUGUUCUUACCAAAACAUGUGAAACAAUCCUCUGUUUUAACAUCUUAAUUUAUGAAACUAUGUCAUCGUGGAGUCUGUUUUAGUUUAUUCAUUACGUAAAAGAAGAUAAGAAACAUUCAUUCGUAACAAAAUUUUAUCAUGUUAACAGAAAAGAGGAAAGUGUGUGUACUCGCGACAUAUGUAAUGAUAAAAAAUAUGUAUGUACUCGUUGUCGAUUUCACUUUAAUUACACUGUUGACCUCUUUUUCGAAAAUAUCAGAAUUAUAAAUAAAUAAUAAUAAUAAUCACCGCAACCAUUUAAAGAACUCAUGUGCUAUUGUCCAUCUAUGAUUUGAGAACACUUAAUUUUUUAUUAGAAAAUAUGAAAGAUAUAUACCAUAUAGCUUAGAUAUUUCAAAACAAAGUAUAGUAGUAAUCUCGUAGGCCAUGCUUGCUAAGUUAGCUAAACAUAAACGACAAACCCUUGCUCACUGGUGCAAUAAUCGAAGUGAAGAGCCUCUUUAUAUGAAAUAUAUAAGCGACACAGCCUUAUGGGCAAAUCGAAUGCUAUUUAUUUAUUUGAUAAGAAGAUUAAUAAUUUCAAUUUGUCAUCCACUAGUCUCUUGGGGUACUCAAAACAUAUCACCAAAAAGUCCAUAGAGUUAUUUGUUCUUAUUUACUGAUAAAGUAUUCCAAGUUGAUGUACGAAUAAAGUGGCAAUUUCAUGUAUUAUCAAUAUAAUCCAUUUUUGGGAAUCUGAUAUUUUGUUUAUCCUCGAGCUCUGAGAGAUAUAUUUUGGUGCAGUGAAGGUUCAAAGCUGGCAUGCAUGAUGCAUAUAAUAACUGCUCUGGACCUAAUACUUACUACGCAUUUAAAUUAAUAUUUAUGGAUAAUAUGGUUAAUAAAUAAGGAACUUCUAUUUAUAUCACAAAAGGUCACUGGUCUUCUUCGUGUGACUUCACCACUUUCUCAUCUCCCACAAAAAUGGCUCUCUCACUUCUUUCAGUCUUUAUCUUUUUCCAUGUCUUUACCAAUGUAAGUUAUUCUUACUUUUCAUAACAAAAGGUGUUAUUAUGUUAAAGACUACAUAAUAGUAUACAAUUAUGUGCAUUACGUUUUCGCGUAUUGUAACUAACUAUGUAUUUUGAUUAAUCACCGAGCAGGUUGUUUUUGCUGCUUCAAAUGAGGAAUCCAACGCCUUAGUACGUUUUCUAAUUUCCAGUUUAAUUAUUUCUAUGCGUCUUUAACUAUAUACUCAGGCAUUUUUAUUGAUUAUUGUGUAUGAAGUUAAAUUUUGGUAUAUGUUUGUAUUAAAUUUAUAGGUUUCUUUACCAACGCCAACACUUCCAUCGCCAUCUCCGGCUACCAAACCGCCGUCGCCAGCUCUCAAACCGCCGACGCCGUCGUACAAGCCACCCACGCUGCCAACUACUCCUAUUAAACCACCCACCACAAAACCUCCGGUCAAACCUCCAACUAUUCCGGUUACACCAGUAAAACCUCCGGUUUCAACUCCUCCGAUCAAACUACCGCCGGUACAACCACCUACGUACAAACCCCCAACGCCAACAGUUAAACCACCGUCCGUCCAACCACCUACGUACAAACCCCCAACUCCAACGGUUAAACCACCCACUACAUCACCGGUUAAACCACCCACUACGCCACCAGUUCAAUCACCGCCGGUCCAACCACCUACGUACAAACCCCCAACGUCACCGGUUAAACCACCCACCACAACUCCACCGGUUAAACCCCCCACCACGACGCCACCGGUCCAACCACCUACGUACAAUCCCCCAACUACACCGGUUAAACCACCUACAGCGCCGCCUGUCAAACCUCCAACACCACCUCCCGUAAGAACUCGGAUAGGUAAUAAUA